rnacentral:tRNA from 1 species
GGGGUUGUGACUCAGUGGUAGAGUGCACACCUAGCACGCCCGAGGCCCUGGGUUCAAUCCUCAGCACUACA